AUGCUAGUUCCAGUGAGGCAUCAGCUUCAGGAAAAUUGGCACAUAAUGGAUGCUCAUAUCACAUGGAACAAAUCACUUAUUUUCACUGACCAGGAACUGUAUCCAGAAAGAGAGAAAGGCAUGCCAAAUCUAAUCGAUUAUACUUUUUGCCUGGUAAAUAAGGCAGCAUCCUGCCCAGAGUUCCUCUCCUCUAGAGGUUCUCUUCAUCAAGUUACUGAUCAGCACAGCACAUACUGGGCAACCAGAACAGAUGCUGGCAAUUUGACCAUACAAGUACGUACCAGAUGAAUACCAGCCAUGAUCACAUCACCAAAUGCAUUCCAGGUAUAAAAAUUUUAUGGAUAAUGGAGGCAUAAAUCCAAUAAAAUGUCAAAGGUCUUAUAUCUGAAAUCA
rnacentral:lncRNA from 12 species